rnacentral:lncRNA from 1 species
CACCAUUGUAGUAACAUCAUUAGUCUGUCCCAAAAGUCUGUCUUUGUUUCUUUUUUGACCUGCACUGGUUUACCUCAAGGAUAUCUGAAACUACUUUUUCUUCUUUCCUCUUACACAUGGACAGCAAACCCUAUGCUCACUGGCUCUACCUUCUGCUUUGCUUGUUUCAGGGCUGGUCCAUUGGGCUCUAAAUUUUUAAAUGUGUAAGUUUCAGAAUCACAGAAACCUUAGAAGAUAUUGGAAGGCUGAAGCUUUGAAGCAACGAGACUUUAGAUCCUCUCUCCUCAUUCCUAUUUUCCUCAUCAUAAAAACCUUUUCGAGAAGCAGAAGAAUGAUGAAAGAGAUGGGGCCAACACUCUCAGAGGUUUGGCCAAUACAACAGAGAAAUGAAAACUCACAGAUGUACCCCACCAAUGCAAGUGAUUCAUUCCUCCUCCAUGGGAAGAAAAAAAGAAUGGAGACAAGGUGGGGAAAAGAGUGAAAUAGCAUCAAGGAGAGGAGAGGAAUAAACAUUCCUUUAUAAUUGUCUUUUUUAACCAAUUUGGGGAAGAAGUUUGGAUAUUUGACCCUCCAAACCUCAUGUUCAAACUUGACCCACAGCGUGGGAGGUGGAGCCUAAUGAGAGGUGUUUCGGUCAGCAGGCAAAUCCCUCAUGAGCAUCUUUGUGUCAUUCUUGCAGGAAUGAGUGAAUUCUUGCUUUAUUAGAUCCCGUGAGAGUUCCCUCAAGAGCUGGUUGUUAAAAAGAGCCUAGGACUUCUUCUCUCUCUUGCUUCCUCUCUUGCCUUGUGAUCUUCACAUCCUGACUGUCCUUCAGCUUCCACCGUGAGUGGAAGACUCCUGAGGCUCUCACAAGAAGCAGACGUCGGCACCAUGCUUCUUUUACAGUCUUCAGAGCCCUGAGAACAAGUAAGCCUCCUUUCUUUUUAAAUGACACAGCCGUAGCUAUUUCUUUAUAGCAACUCAAAUGGGCUAAAACAGAGGUCAAUGGACUAUCAGAAUGUUCUGCCACCAUUUUCAUGAGAUGGCUACCCCAAACCUGACCAUGGACACUCUUGGGUGUCCUCCUGGGACUACUGGUAGGCAGAAUGCAUUUUGCCUCCAGGAAACUAUAGAAUGGGUUAUUCAGUAUGUAUUAACAAAAUUACUCAAAAUCCUACACUAAACUCGAAGAUGAACGGU